UGGGAGUUUAGCUCAGCUGGGAGAGCAUCUGCCUUACAAGCAGAGGGUCAGCGGUUCGAACCCGUUAACUCCCAU
rnacentral:tRNA from 5 species